UACGAAGGGUGCAAACGUUGCUCGGAAUUACUGGGCGUAAAGGGCUCGUAGGCGGCCAACUAAGUCCGACGUGAAAUCCCCAAGCUUAACUUGGGAACUGCGUCGGAUACUGGAUGGCUUGAAUUCGGGAGAGGGAUGCAGAAUUCCAGGUGUAGCGGUGAAAUGCGUAGAUAUCUGGAGGAAUACCGGUGGCGAAGGCGGCAUCCUGGACCGACAUUGACGCUGAGGAGCGAAAGCUAGGGGAGCAAACGGG
rnacentral:rRNA from 1 species